rnacentral:rRNA from 1 species
GAUGAACGCUGGCGGCGUGCCUAAUACAUGCAAGUCGAGCGAACAGAUGAGGAGCUUGCUCCUCUGACGUUAGCGGCGGACGGGUGAGUAACACGUGAAUAACCUACCUAUAAGACUGGGAUAACUUCGGGAAACCGGAGCUAAUACCGGAUAAUAUAUUGAACCGCAUGGUUCAAUAGUGAAAGACGGUUUUGCUGUCACUUAUAGAUGGAUCCGCGCUGCAUUAGCUAGUUGGUAAGGUAACGGCUUACCAAGGCAACGAUGCGUAGCCGACCUGAGAGGGUGAUCGGCCACACUGGAACUGAGACACGGUCCAGACUCCUACGGGAGGCAGCAGUAGGGAAUCUUCCGCAAAGGGCGAAAGCCUGACGGAGCAACGCCGCGUGAGUGAUGAAGGUCUUCGGAUCGUAAAACUCUGUUAUUAGGGAAGAACAAAUGUGUAAGUAACUAUGCACGUCUUGACGGUACCUAAUCAGAAAGCCACGGCUAACUACGUG